GAAGUGCUCAGGUUCUGUAUGAUUUGGAGCGGGGAGGAUGGCCCAAUUUACUUUGAAAGAUGCUUGUUAAUUUGGGGGAUUCUGAGAUUUGCCCAAGAAAUUUGUCACAGAGCAGAUUCCAGAAGGACUUUGCCGCUUCUGAUUUUCUACUUAAUUUGCGCCUGAUCAAAAACUAAUGGCUCCCUUAAAGACUCAGGUACGUGACAUACAUUUCUCAAUCUAACACUGACUUCCAAGCACCUGGUUCCAGUGGUAAUAUUCUGUAAUCAGACUGAAGAUGGGAAACCUUGUGGGGAGGAGAUACACAUUCAGACCCCGGCAAGGGUGUGAUGGAGAAUCUGGCAGAGGAGGAAGAAGGCAGGCAGCAGAUUGAAGUUGGCCAGGCAUCAAGUUCUGAAAUAUUCUGAAACAUUCAAAUGUGACUGUUCUCAGAUGUCCCAGCUAUCCCUGCAACAGCCUAUCAGAAUCCUGAGCUCUCCUGUGCUCAGACAAAAUAAACCACACCCCUUCCCUUCCUCCAUCAGGCAAAGUAGACGGGAUGCCUACAUCAAGUUAACUACGUUGUGGACAAAAUGCAGGGCUCAGAUUUGAACUUGCAAACUCUCAGUGUUAUUCCAUCCACGGAUUCUUCACGGGCUUGUGCUCCUGACCACUGCCUACUCACAGGACAUCAGAACAGUUAAUAUCUCCAGAGAGCAUGUAAAUCCCCCAAUAAUUAUGGAAGUAAAAUGCAUUUACAGGCACAACCCUUAUUAGCAAGGCAGCCACCAUAACAAAGUUACGAGGAAAAGGAAAAUCCUCAUGUGUAUUCAUAAGAAGAAAAUAGCUAACCCCAAAUAAUCACAAUGCUAAAUAUGCAUCUCCCUAGGCUAAGGUGGGUAGUUCUUAAUAAAGAUAUGUAGGUUAGUCAGCAGUUGCUUUGUUUAAAAUUUGAGGUGGAGCAUGGGAAGCAUGAACCAGGUAGGAUAUAGGAGACAGUUCUGAGAAAGGGAGAGUCUAAAUCUUGACCCACGUCACCUCCCCGUCAUCUCCUCCAUGGGCCCUUAGAGUGUGGUCUGCGUGAAGCAGAGGA
rnacentral:lncRNA from 1 species